AACGAACGCUGGCGGCAGGCCUAACACAUGCAAGUCGAGCGCCCCAGCAAUGGGGAGCGGCAGACGGGUGAGUAACGCGUGGGAACCUUCCCAAUGGUACGGAAUAGCCCAGGGAAACUUGGAGUAAUACCGUAUACGCCCGAAAGGGGAAAGAUUUAUCGCCAUUGGAUGGGCCCGCGUCUGAUUAGCUAGUUGGUGAGGUAACGGCUCACCAAGGCGACGAUCAGUAGCUGGUCUGAGAGGAUGAUCAGCCACACUGGGACUGAGACACGGCCCAGACUCCUACGGGAGGCAGCAGUGGGGAAUAUUGGACAAUGGGCGAAAGCCUGAUCCAGCGAUGCCGCGUGUGUGAAGAAGGCCUGCGGGUUGUAAAGCACUUUCAGUA
rnacentral:rRNA from 1 species